AUUAUAUCUUUCUUGUGUGAUUUGUUUAUGGUUUUGUUUCUCUGACUCUUUGUAAACUUUUGUAGUCUACCUCGGUACGUCUUGUGUUGGGGAGGUUUUCUAUGUUAAUAUAUCUCAUUUUGCUUUGUUACAAAAAAUAUUAGUCCUUAUAUCAAAAACAAAAAAAUCUUUAAAAAAAAAAACUUCUAAAAAAUGUCAUUUAUUUUUCAACUAUUUUCAACUUUGUAUUUAAUUUUUACUGUUUUUUUUUAAACUAAAUGUAUUAUUCACGCGCAACUGUAGAGAAUAAUCCUCUUGAGGUAACUGAUAAUUUUUAUUGUUUUUGUCUCACCAUUUUUUUACGGGAG
rnacentral:lncRNA from 1 species